AUUGAACGCUGGCGGCAGGCCUAACACAUGCAAGUCGAGCGGAUGAAGGGAGCUUGCGCCUGGAUUCAGCGGCGGACGGGUGAGUAAGGCCUAGGAAUAUGCCUUGUAGUGGGGGAUGACGUCAGGAAACGGGCGCUAAUACCGCAUACGUCCUGAGGGAGAAAGGGGGGGAUCUUCGGACAUCACGCGAUCAGAUGAGACUAGGUCGGGUUAGCUAGUUGGUAGGGUAAAGGCCUACCAAGGCGACGAUCCGUAACCGGUGUGAGAGGGUGAACAAUCAAAACGGGACCUGAGACCGGGCCCAGCCCCUAAGGGAGGGCACCAGUGGGAAAUUUUGGAAAAGGGCGGAAACCUUGCUCAAGCCAGGCGGGUGGGGUGAAGAAGGUCUCCGGAUUGUAAAGCACUUUAAGUUGGGAGGACGAAUAUGAAGUUAACACCUUGCUGUUUGAACGUUACCAACAAAAUAAGCACCGCUUAACUCCGU
rnacentral:rRNA from 1 species